rnacentral:tRNA from 5 species
ACGAGCAGACGGUUCUUCAAUAUUUUCUAAAUAUUGUAAGGUGUGCUCU